CCUACGGGAGGCUGCAGUGGGGGAUAUUGGACAAUGGGGGGAACCCUGAUCCAGCGACGCCGCGUGAGUGAAGAAGUAUUUCGGUAUGUAAAGCUCUGUCAGCAGGGAAGAAAGAAAUGACGGUACCUGACCAAGAAGCCCCGGCUAACUACGUGCCAGCAGCCGCGGUAAUACGUAGGGGGCAAGCGUUAUCCGGAAUUACUGGGUGUAAAGGGAGCGUAGACGGUUAAGUAAGUCUGGAGUGAAAGGCCGGGGGCCAACCCCGGGACUGCUCUGGAAACUAUUGAACUUGAGUGCAGGAGAGGUAAGCGGAAUUCCUAGUGUAGCGGUGAAAUGCGUAGAUAUUAGGAGGAACACCAGUGGCGAAGGCGGCUUACUGGACUGUAACUGACGUUGAGGCUCGAAAGCGUGGGGAGCAAACAGGAUUAGAUACCCUUGUAGUC
rnacentral:rRNA from 1 species